rnacentral:rRNA from 1 species
GACGAACGCUGGCGGCGUGCUUAACACAUGCAAGUCGAACGGAAAGGCCCUGCUUUUGUGGGGUGCUCGAGUGGCGAACGGGUGAGUAACACGUGAGUAACCUGCCCUUGACUUUGGGAUAACUUCAGGAAACUGGGGCUAAUACCGGAUAGGAGCUCCUGCUGCAUGGUGGGGGUUGGAAAGUUUCGGCGGUUGGGGAUGGACUCGCGGCUUAUCAGCUUGUUGGUGGGGUAGUGGCUUACCAAGGCUUUGACGGGUAGCCGGCCUGAGAGGGUGACCGGCCACAUUGGGACGGAGGGACGGCCCAGACGCCUACGGGAGGCAGCAGUGGGGAAUAUGGCGCAAUGGGCGGGAGCCUGAUGCAGCAACGCCGCGUGCGGGGUGACGGCCUUCGGGUUGUGAACCGAUUUCGCCUGUGACGAAGCGUGAGUGACGGUAAUGAAUAAGGAAGCACCGGCUAACUACGUG